rnacentral:tRNA from 1 species
GAGCAUGUGGCCUAACGGAUAAGGCGUCUGACUUUGGAUCAGAAGACUGAGGGUUUAAGUCCCUCUCUGGUUG